rnacentral:tRNA from 2 species
UGCCGGGUCGUCCAGUGGUAAGACGCCUGACUCUGAAUCAGGUAACGGGGGUUCGACUCCCUCCCCGGCAACCA